rnacentral:rRNA from 1 species
AUUCCGGUUGAUCCUGCCGGAGGCCAUUGCUAUCGGAGUCCGAUUUAGCCAUGCUAGUCGCAC